GUAUGCAAAAACAAAGUUUCUCUAGCUAUUUCUUCGUUCCACAUGACAAUAUGAUAUCUAUCUCAGUAUCGCCGACCAUUGAUGAAUGCUACAAGGAGGCACAGAAUCUUGCCUUUGCAUUGUUUAAUCGGGAAGCAGGCCGGCAGACACGCUCACACGCACGCGUGCGGACAGGAGCGAGAGAAUGCAUGGAGCACGUACAGUACAGGGGAUGAAGAAGCAAGAAAGUACUGAAAAAGUGCACGGCCUUGUGCUUCAAACCGUCGUCAGCCAGCCGUGUGCUUUUCUUUGCUUUCCUUCGCUUCUUCUCUCCCAAAUGUCUGCUUGUUCCGUCUGGUGUAGGCACCGAAAAGCAGCAGCACUCUUUUACACCUAGCCUUCAGGCAUGGCAUGGAGUCUAUGCAUGCAGCUUUAAUUUGCCGA
rnacentral:lncRNA from 1 species